GAUGAACGCUGGCGGCGUGCUUAACACAUGCAAGUCGAACGGAAAGGCCCAAGCUUGCUUGGGUACUCGAGUGGCGAACGGGUGGGUAACACGUGGGUGAUCUGCCCUGCACUUCGGGAUAAGCCUGGGAAACUGGGUCUAAUACCGGAUAGGACCACUUCUUGGAUGUUGUGGUGGAAAGUUUUUUCGGUGUGGGAUGAGCUCGCGGCCUAUCAGCUUGUUGGUGGGGUAAUGGCCUACCAAGGCGUCGACGGGUAGCCGGCCUGAGAGGGUGUACGGCCACAUUGGGACUGAGAUACGGCCCAGACUCCUACGGGAGGCAGCAGUGGGGAAUAUUGCACAAUGGGCGCAAGCCUGAUGCAGCGACGCCGCGUGGGGGAUGACGGCCUUCGGGUUGUAAACUCCUUUCGCUAGGGACGAAGCGUUUUGUGACGGUACCUGGAGAAGAAGCACCGGCUAACUACGUG
rnacentral:rRNA from 1 species